AAGCGUUUUUAUGAUGGUCCUGCUAUAGAAAAGUUGAACUUUGAGGCUUCUGGCUGAAGACACUAUAAAUAAUUUUCAGUACCCAUUCCAUUGCUUCAUGUUCGUCAGCCGCCGGUGAUAGUCGGAUGAUGGAAAGCUUUUAGCUCAUGAGGAAUUUUGUAAAUUCCUCAUGAGCUGAAACCUGCUCAUGAUCGCCGGACAACGGGAGUUUGGAACAAAUAAAGCAGCUGGAAAAGCUGCAGAACAAAUCCGUUUCCGCCCAUUGAAAAUUGUUCAUUGUUGGAGUUAUACAAUUAACAUACUCAUCAAGUGAAUCACUGGACAAACACAAUAGAGAAUAGUAACCUAAUUGAAUGAAUGUUAACGUAGUAGACGUAGCCUUAGGGUAUAAAUACAGUGUUCUGUUCGUAGAACACUUCACUCACUAAUAAACGGUCAAAGUGUAAACAUGUCGUUUUAUUAGUAGUCCGGAUUGGAAUCCGUGAAAUUCCAACAGGUUAUGGGGCCCAGACACAUUGAACUGUGGCAAUUAAUCUGCAGCGCCAGUUUGUACUGGAAGGGGUGUCAAUAACACUCGCUGUAUGAUUAAAUUGUGAUUGUGUGUUCUGCGGAAAGUUUCGGCGCUGAUUCGCGCUAUGGCAGUGGUGGCGGUAACUCCAAGUAUGGCGGUUGGUAUGGCAUCGUUUCGUCUGAGGAGGUGGUCACAAAGUGGUGGCGGUAACUCCAAGUAUGGCGGUUGGUAUGGCAUCGUUUCGUCUGAGGAGGUAGUCACAUGGCAGAUGGUCGCGUCGAUGAUGGUCGAUGGUCAAGUCAAUGGCAGACGACAAAAUUGGUCGAGUCAUGGCAGAUGACAAAUGGUCACUUCGAUGACGGUCGGUAGGCGUAAUACUGGGUGAGCAAUACCAAGUCAUGGCAGAUGACAAAUGGUCACUUCGAUGACGGUCGGUAGGCGUAAUACUGGGUGAGCAAUACAAUCUCACAAACGGUUCAGCAUCAAAAAAAAAAAAAAAAAGAAAGAUGGCAACAGUGGUCAAGAUGAUAACGGUGGUCAAGAUGGCAACAGUGGUCAAGAUGACAACGAUGGUCAAGAUAGCAACAGUGGUCAAGAUGCCGAGGGUGGUCAAGAUGACACACGAUGGUCAAGAUGACACAUGAUGGUCAAGAUGACACACAAUGGUCAAGAUGACGCACGAUGGUCAAGAUGACACACGAUGGUCGUGAUGACUACGGAUUUUAGUCAUGGAAAUAGCUAAAUGCUAUUCGUGGCAACUACGGAUUAGUUGCAAUCGGACAUAAAGGAAAGUCGCUGCAUCACAAUUGAUGAAUGUUCAAGUGAAGGGCAGACGACAAGGUCGAUUGGGAAAGUUGAACGGCAGUAUCGAAGGUCAACGACAAGGUCGAUUGGCAAGGACGAAUGGCAAGUUCGGAAGUACCAAAAGUCGAUGGCAAAUCGUUUAAAUGUCGAUGGUCGAUGGUCAAAUCGUUUUCAAUGGUCGGUGGUAACUCGUUUCGAUGGCAAAUCGGUUCGAUGGUCGAUUAUACAUCGUUUCAAUGGUCGAUGGUUGUAUCAAUGGUGAAAAGAAGCAAAGAAUGGUCGAUGGUAAAUCGUUCAAAGAAUAAGAAUUGGUAUACGUAAUGCUCCAAUUGAGUGGGAGAAAUGCAAUUGAAGCGUCGUUUUUUGAAUUGGUCGAACUGUUUUCAAUGGUUAGUGUUUGGUGAAGCAUAUUGGUCGAAUGUCAAAUCAAUGGUGGAAUCGGUUCAAUGGUCACUCGCUCGCAGUACAAACAAACAAUUGCAUUAUCUGAUUCAGUGGGAGUUUUUUGGAAUUCAAAUUCAUCUAUGAGUUAUAUGAAUUGAGUGGGAGUGUUGGAGUUAUACAAUUAAUAUACUCAUCAAGUGAAUCACUGGACAAACACAAUAGAGAAUAGUAACCUAAUUGAAUGAAUGUUAACGUAGUAGACGUAGCCUUAGGGUAUAAAUACAGUGUUCUGUUCGUAGAACACUUCACUCACUAAUAAACGGUCAAAGUGUAAA